UUGGCCUUCCUGCCCUGCCCUGCAUGAUACAGAUACACUGUUAGGCAUUUGCAAUGGAUAUGCCUGCUCCGGCCAAAGGGUGCCCAGAGAUGUGAUAAAGGACUGCUCGACUCCGUCUCCGGGCUGAGUCAAAGUGCAAAACAGAAGGCCUGACCCAAACAUAACAGGUGCAUUUCCCCACUGGACACCACCAAACACCAAACUCUGCUAAUUCCAUAUGGAAGAAGAAGGCCAACUUAAAUUCCUGACCCACAAAAUUGAAACUGAUGACAUUGGACCUACUAAUAUGCAAAUAGGUUAGAAAAAGAAGCUUUCUGUAGAGAGGAUAGAUAUGAUAAGAUAAACAUAUAAAAGCUAAGGCUGGUAGAUCCAAUCAUGAUUGUCUUUCAUGCUAUUAGGGAAGAUACAACUUGUUAACGUUAAAGUUCUGCCAACAAGCUAGAGUGAGAAAGAAAACAAAUAGGAUAUGAUAUCUCAAUGUGUCCUUUCUCAGCUUAGAGGAUAACAAAAAAGAACAAGGAAAACCAGAAAUGAUUUCCCACUAUGGGGUUUUAUAGCUCUGAAGCAUGAAGAAAUUGUGUUGGAUAGCUUUUUUGCAAUGAUUUUUUCUGUAAGGUCAAGAGAGCAAUCAUAGCAUUAAGGGACAA